UACGAGGGGGGCAAGCGUUGUUCGGAUUUAUUGGGCGUAAAGGGUGCGUAGGCGGUCGGGUAAGUCUGAUGUGAAAUCUCACAGCUUAACUGUGAAACUGCAUUGGAUACUAUCCGGCUCGAGGAAUGGAGGGGAGACUGGAAUACUUGGUGUAGCAGUGAAAUGCGUAGAUAUCAAGUGGAACACCAGUGGCGAAGGCGAGUCUCUGGACAUUUCCUGACGCUGAGGCACGAAAGCCAGGGGAGCAAACGGG
rnacentral:rRNA from 1 species